CCGACUGUGCGUGACUGGCGGAGCAUGGGUCCAACCAUGAGGGAGCGCAUGGAUACAGCAGCCGUACGCCUGGGCAGAGGUA
rnacentral:ncRNA from 3 species